AAUGAACGCUGGCGGCGUGCCUAAUACAUGCAAGUCGAACGAAAACACAAUAAGCUCUUUCCUCUUCGGGUGGCGAGUGGCGGACGAGUGAGGAGUAAAUAAGAUUCUAAUUAGUCGGGGGGGAUCUCGUGGGAAAGAUCAUGCUAACACCGCAUAAGUCCUCCCGUUUUCAGCAGUAGAUAUUCGGACCUUUCGUGAUUCUUAUAGCUGAGGACGGAUUGGCUAGUUGGCUGGGUAAGGGCCCACCAAGGCGAGGAUCCGUAGCUGGUCUGAGAGGAUGAUCAGCCACACUGGAACUGAGACACGGUCCAGACUCCUACGGGAGGCAGCAGUGGGGAAUCUUGGACAAUGGGCGCAAGCCUGACCCAGCCAUACCGCGUGGGUGAAGAAGGCCUUCGGGUUGUAAAGCUCUGUUGUUGGGAAAGAAAAACAGUGGAUGAAACUCUCGCUGUCCUGACGGUACCCAAAGAGUAAGCACCGGCUAACUUCGUG
rnacentral:rRNA from 1 species